UACAACGGGUGGAGCCUGCGGUUUAAUUUGGACUCAACGACCGGAAACUCACCGGGGCGACAGCAAUAUGUAGGUCAAGCUAAAGACUUUACCAGAAUCGCUGAGAGGAGGUGCAUGGCCGUCGUCAGUUCGUACUGUGAAGCAUCCUGUUAAGUCAGGCAACGAGCGAGACCCGUGCCCACUGUUGCCAGCAUGUCCUUCGGGAUGAUGGGUACUCUGUGGGACCGCCGAUGCUAAAUCGGAGGAAGGUGCGGGCUACGGUAGGUCAGUAUGCCCCGAAUCUCCCGGGCUACACGCGGGCUACAAUGACUGGGACAAUGGGCUCCUACCCCGAAAGGGGAUGGUAAUCUCAUAAACCCAGCCUUAGUUCGGAUCGAGGGCUGUAACCCGCCCUCGUGAAGCUGGAAUCCGUAGUAAUCGCGUUUCAACAUAGCGCGGUGAAUACGUCCCUGCUCCUU
rnacentral:rRNA from 1 species